AUGAGGGAUGUGUUUAUGGGGACUACAAGAGCAGUCGACAAUGGGUCUACAUUAGUUAGAUGCUUUGUUUGUGUUGGCACACACCAUAUCGGAUCAAUAGGACUAUUCUCUAGCAUUAAGGUCCAAUAUAGCAUUAGGACUAGGGCUAGAAUCCUCCAACAUAGGUUGCAUAUUCCGUUGAAAAUGGGAUCUCGGUUGUCAUGGUGAAUCCGUGGGUGAUGAUGGGUUCUUCAUCCGGGGGUUUUCCCUUCCAGCAGUCCAGCUCCAGGCAACGGCAGCCGGCCAGCAGACACUGGCAGUACAUCUCCGGAGACGACACGCCGGAAAAAUGUCCCGCUGUGGAGGGAUCACAAGGAAAUGUCCCGCUGUGGAGGGAUCACGGGGAAAUGUCCUGCUGUGGAGGGAUCACGGGGAAAUGUCCUGCUGUGGAGGGAUCACGGGGAAAUGUCCCGCUGUGGAGGGGUCACGGGGAAAUGUCCCGCUGUGGAGGGAUCACGGGGAAAUGUCCCGCUGUGGAGGGGUCACGGGGAAAUGUCCCGCUGUGGAGGGAUCACGGGGAAAUGUCCCGCUGUGGAGGGGUCACGGGGAAAUGUCCCGCUGUGGAGGGGUCACGGAGAAAUGUCCCGCUGUGGAGGGGUCACGGAGAAAUGUGUUCCAUUACACUCUAGAGACACUCAAAGGCAUAAAGCAACAGUCUAUACGAUUUCCAGUCAUUUUAAUUAAUGAAAUAACCCAAAAAGGAUUGUAUAAAUUAUCAUUCAUCCAUAGACUUUCUAUUGCUUCUAUUACUAUCUCUGUGCUCACAUAUACUGACAAGAAAAUGCCUUUCCAUUUUUAUAGCUCUGAGUAGACUUUGAUAAACCUUGUUUACCAUAGCCGUGUUGAAAUGUGUGAUAUCAGGUCUAAAGGCAGUUCUCGUCUGACCUGUCAGGUCGGUGUUGGACUUGAUUAGGCAAUGUGGCAGCGGUUGGCUCAUGUCCUGACACUUGGCCAGUUUGUCCAGUAUGACCACAGAUGUCAGAUAGAACAGCUGACCUGUAGAAUAAGACACAUGCACAUUAUAGCAGUGUUACACAUGUCUCUUCUAUAAAACACUGGAUUGAAAAUACAGUAAUGAUUGGGAAUAAAGUGCAGUCAAUGAUGAUCGGUUAGUUCUCCUGUCCUGUCUGUAGUAAUC
rnacentral:lncRNA from 1 species